rnacentral:rRNA from 1 species
AACGAACGCUGGCGGCAGGCUUAACACAUGCAAGUCGAGCGCCUCGCAAGAGGAGCGGCAGACGGGUGAGUAACGCGUGGGAAUCUACCGUGCCCUAAGGAAUAGCUCCGGGAAACUGGAAUUAAUACCUUAUACGCCCUUCGGGGAAGAUUAUCGGGUAGUGAUGAGCCCGCGUUGGAUUAGCUAGUUGGUGGGGUAAA